UAGGGAAUCUUCCGCAAUGGACGCAAGUCUGACGGAGCAACGCCGCGUGAGUGAAGAAGGAUUUCGGUUCGUAAAACUCUGUUGUUAGAGAAGAACAGCGCAUAGAGUAACUGUUAUGCGUGUGACGGUAUCUAACCAGAAAGCCACGGCUAACUACGUGCCAGAAGCCGCGGUAAUACGUAGGUGGCAAGCGUUGUCCGGAUUGAUUGGGCGUAAAGCGAGCGCAGGCGGUCAAUUAAGUCUGAUGUGAAAGCCCCCGGCUCAACCGGGGAGGGUCAUUGGAAACUGGUUGACUUGAGUGCAGAAGAGGAGAGUGGAAUUCCAUGUGUAGCGGUGAAAUGCGUAGAUAUAUGGAGGAACACCAGUGGCGAAGGCGACUCUCUGGUCUGUAACUGACGCUGAGGCUCGAAAGCGUGGGUAGCAAACAGG
rnacentral:rRNA from 1 species